GUGGGCGUAGCUCAGCGGUUAGAGCAUCGGACUGUGGCUCCGAGGGCCGGGGGUUCAAAUCCCCUCGCCCACCCCA
rnacentral:tRNA from 1 species